AUUGAACGCUGGCGGCAUGCCUUACACAUGCAAGUCGAACGGCAGCACGGGAGCAAUCCUGGUGGCGAGUGGCGAACGGGUGAGUAAUAUAUCGGAACGUGCCCAGUCGUGGGGGGAUAACGUAGCGAAAGCUACGCUAAUACCGCAUACGAUCUAUGGAUGAAAGCGGGGGAUCGCAAGACCUCGCGCGAUUGGAGCGGCCGAUAUCAGAUUAGGUAGUUGGUGAGGUAAAGGCUCACCAAGCCGACGAUCUGUAGCUGGUCUGAGAGGACGACCAGCCACACUGGGACUGAGACACGGCCCAGACUCCUACGGGAGGCAGCAGUGGGAAUUUUGGACAAUGGGCGCAAGCCUGAUCCAGCAAUGCCGCGUGCAGGAUGAAGGCCUUCGGGUUGUAAACUGCUUUUGUACGGAACGAAACGGUGAGCUCUAAUACAGUUUGCUAAUGACGGUACCGUAAGAAUAAGCACCGGCUAACUACGUG
rnacentral:rRNA from 1 species